rnacentral:rRNA from 1 species
AUUGAACGCUGGCGGCAUGCCUUACACAUGCAAGUCGAACGGUAACGCGGGGCAACCUGGCGACGAGUGGCGAACGGGUGAGUAAUGUAUCGGAACGUGCCCAGUUGUGGGGGAUAACUGCUCGAAAGAGCAGCUAAUACCGCAUACGACCUGAGGGUGAAAGCGGUGGAUCGCAAGACCUCGCGCAAUUGGAGCGGCCGAUAUCAGAUUAGGUAGUUGGUGGGGUAAAGGCUCACCAAGCCAACGAUCUGUAGCUGGUCUGAGAGGACGACCAGCCACACUGGGACUGAGACACGGCCCAGACUCCUACGGGAGGCAGCAGUGGGGAAUUUUGGACAAUGGACGCAAGUCUGAUCCAGCCAUGCCGCGUGCGGGAAGAAGACCUUCGGGUUGUAAACCGCUUUUGUCAGGGAAGAAACGCUCUGGGUUAAUACCUCGGGGUAAUGACGGUACCUGAAGAAUAAGCACCGGCUAACUACGUGCCAGCCGCCGCGGUAAAAC